GCGGCGCUGUAGCUUCCCGCCGUCCCCCGUUCGACAGUCGCGCUCUGUUCGGUUUGCUGUGCGUAGUUGAGCUCAAUUAUUUUCGUUUUCUGUUUUUAAAGUGAUAUUGCCAGAGUUAUUUCUAUACCAGGACGAAUUUGUUAUUUUAUACUAGUGACUGAGUGUGAAAAGAAGUGUUCGCAUGGAUUGAGUGAGCAACGAUGUUACCUCCCACGGCCGGUCUAUCACAAGAACAACGCGACCGGCCCGACAUGGCGUACCAGCAACGUCAGGACGUGCGAGAGCUAACCAGAGAAAUCAUCAGAAGCGCUCGAGUUGCAAACAGAACACAUUCAACAUCCCCUGGAGUUCGAGACCGUUUCCCGUCAACAUCGUCAACGGACGACAAUGAGAGCGGUACAGAUGGAGAGGCAGACAGAUCUCGUCGCGUCAGCCUCAUGCACGGAGGAGUGCCGACACCUCCUCCCGGCAUCGUGUCCAUCCGCAAGCGACGAGGGAACCUCGCGAAACAUUCUGUCAAGAUUCUCAAGAAGUGGUUGUACGACCACCGGUACAAUGCGUACCCUAAUGACGCUGAGAAGAUAGCGCUAAGUCAAGAAGCUAACUUGACUGUAUUGCAGGUAUGCAAUUGGUUCAUAAACGCUCGUCGGCGUAUCCUGCCGGAGAUGAUCCGCCGCGAGGGCCACGACCCGCUGCACUACACGAUCUCGCGGCGCGGCCGCAAGCAGCCGGGCGGCUCCAGCUCGAACGCCAACAGCGCCGGCGUCGUCGUCGCCUCCUGGGACGGGGUCGAAGUUGAGAACGACGCAGACCGCAGCGCCGAGCAGGAGUACAGCGACGGGCUACUUGUAUACCGGAGCGACGGAGACGACAUCGGAGACGGAGAGGAGGGAUACUCAUCUAGCGCUGUCUCAGAGGAGGAGGUCAAAUACGACCCCUCCGUCUGGCAGUCCGUCAUACGGUACGGACCAGAGGACCGGGAACUACACCCCGCCGCCCGAGGGCGUACGGCGGGCGUGGUGUCGGUUCGUACGGAGACGGAGGAGGGCGCGGAGGGCGGCGGCGGCGCGGGCGCGGGCGCGGCGCCGGCGGACUCGGCCAGCGCCGACGCCGCGCCGCCCGGCGGCUGGCACCCGCAGCUCGCGCACCUGCCGCAGCUGCCGCAUCCGCUGCGGCGCCGACUACAGGUGGUGCCUACGAACGUGAGCAGUGAAGGCGAGCGGGACAAGUUCAAGUGUCUGUACCUGCUCGUCGAGACCGCCGUCGCAGUGCGCCAGAGGGAGAAGGAAGCGGAGGAGGUUCCCGUCUAGUGACCGAGGUAUCGGUAUGGAGUGGACUCGGCAGCACCGCCAACGGAAUUGCAUUUAAUCGACAUCGUCAUAUCAGCCAGUUUAUUUAAAUUAAAUGUGGUCACACGUAUCUCAACAUUUAAAUCGGUACAGGCCUGGACGAAAACCUUCGACAUUUUUUAUUGAAUUAGAUAGCAACAUGUCGCAAUAUUAUUAUACACUUUAUCACAGUGAAGCUACCCUCUCCAUACAGAAGUGUAAUGCCCUGAAAUAGUUCCUCUAUUAACGCAAUAUUCAUUCAUAUUGAAUGUCAUGUCCCCAGUUGUAUGCCGUUCAGGAUAUACCUCCACUGUGUUCGCCCGUUCCUCACGUUUUACGCCAAGUUCGUAGGACCAGUAAUCGACUGUAUGGAGUUGUAGAUUUCUAUAAUUAUAUUCGUACACUUAAACUCAUGUCCUUGUAUAUAGUUUGUACACAUACAUAGUGUAUGUUAGGUCUAAAGUUUUGUAGCUUCUAGUUAAAUGUUAGUGCCAAUGAGGCAAGUCUAUAUUGUAACAUCUCAGGAUAAUUUCGAUGAUAAUUUAUUUUAGGGUGAAACCACAAAAUAUAGUCGAGCAAGUAUCAUAGAGGUUGAAAUGUAGCAUUAGAGUUAUCAGCACUGAUUGCGGGAUUCACCCUGUAUGCGUAAAUAAAUUGUCAAGAUAAAUUAUCCCAGUUAUUAUGUUAUUUUUCUAUCGAUACUUAUGAUAUAUUUAUCAACUUAACCGAUUCGUUGCGGAUGGCACGACAGACGUGCCAUCCAUUUUUUACAUAUGGCGUAUGACACGCGUUUCGUGUCAUUUUUAAAUGACACGAAACGCGUUUGACCGUUGACUUUCGAUUUUGGAAGUCGACUGAAUACAAUUCAAGGGUAAACAAGAAAAAAGAACAUUUUAUUCUGUACAUGGCUGAUGGCACAAUAGGCGUGUCAUCAACUGAUAUGGCGCUUGACACGACUGUCGUGUCACGAAAUAUUUGUUCGUCGCCACGCAUAAAAGUGCACCAAAAUGGGCGUCGCAACGAAUCGGUUAAGCAAAAGCUUUAACAGGGAGUUGAAACAUAUUAUUAUAAUCGAUAUUUUUCUUAUAAUAAGAUAUAUACUAGAUAGCGAAGCUAUUGUAUUUACGUACGAGUACGUGAGUGUACACUGACAGUUAGGUAUUACCUGUGAGCUAGCUAUCUAGUAUGUUCUGUAUGUAUCCUGCACAUAAAAAAUCGUUUUCAACGUAACAGCAUUAUAAAUUAAUUUACAAUUAUGUUUGAAUAUCCAGCUCAGAACUCCACUACACUUCAAGACGUUCAUAUCAUUUCUCUAUCUGUCCUCAUAAGUCACAUGGGACGGUGAUAUUCCUCAAUUAAUUUAAAAUUAUUAAAGUUUCCUAUAAAAGUAUUUCAAGUGUAGUGGAGUUCUAUGUAAAAUUGUAUUUAUUUAUUGGUUGUGAGUUUGGGGCGUCGCUGUGUGAAUCAUAUUGUUUUUCUAAGGCCUAUUUUGUAAUUUCUUUUGAUGGACAUAUUGAACUAAACAGACAUGAUGUUUGAGAAUGUUUUUAAACAUUUUUCAGUUAGUAUUGUAAAAGGACGUCUUUUCGUUAGUGUAAUACGUUAUAGUUUGCUCUAAAACAAGCCUGUUUCUAAGACUUGCUUUAGAUCAAAUAAUAUGUUGCUUUAAUAUGUCUAUUAAAGUGUGAUGUUACGGCUUCAAUAGCUGGCGACGAAUUCAAUGUAAAAGGAUAAGAAAUCUUAUGUUAAAUAAUUUGAUUGAUCAUUGAUUUAUUUACCAAGCAAGCCCGAAUGACGAUUGUCCUUCGAGAUGUAAUCAUUAUGCUGAUAACUCGCUGUUACACAUGUAAAAAGUACCUCGUAAUUUUAAUAAUUUACGACAUUAAAUAUUUGUUCUGCAAUUUACCUUCCUCAAUGUUAUGAGAAUUCAUUAGUUUAAUAUGUUACUAUGAUACCUGUUAUGGUACCCGUCGGCCAGCCUGAUGCACUUAACGUUAGCAGUCAAUGUUAAUUAGCUCUUAAGUCGUUUGUUUUAAGGUGACUUUUCGUUUUAACUCUUUUAAAUGUAAGUAGGGUGUCAUUUUCGUUUCUUAAUUUACCUGAGUACAAUAACUUAGAACUUAGUAUUUUUCGUUCAUGUAAAUACUCCUGUGUAAGAUGCGUAAUCUGUUAGUGAAUAAAGUAAAAGAUUUCAAAAAUA